ACUCCUACGGGAGGCAGCAGUGGGGAAUAUUGCACAAUGGGCGCAAGCCUGAUGCAGCAACGCCGUGUGAGUGAAGAAGGUUUUCGGUAUCGUAAAACUACUGUCCUAAGGGAAGAAACAAAUAGACGGUACCUUAGGAGGAAGCCCCGGCUAACUACGUGCCAGCAGCCGCGGUAAUACGUAGGGGCGAAGCGUUAUCCGGAAUCACUGGGGCGUAAAGGGUGCGUAGGCGGCUUAGCAAGCCAGGGGUGAAAGGCAUUGGCUCAACCAAUGUAAGCCUUUGGAACUGUUAAGCUUGAGUGCAGGAGAGGUAAGUGGAAUUCCUAGUGUAGAGGUGAAAUUCGUAGAUAUUAGGAGGAACACCAGUGGCGAAGGCGACUUACUGGACUGUAACUGACGCUGAUGCACGAAAAGCGUGGGUAGCGAACAGGAUUAGAUACCCUGGUAGACUGUCA
rnacentral:rRNA from 1 species